rnacentral:rRNA from 1 species
ACAGAUGGGAGCUUGCUCCCUGAUGUUAGCGGCGGACGGGUGAGUAACACGUGGGUAACCUGCCUGUAAGACUGGGAUAACUCCGGGAAACCGGGGCUAAUACCGGAUGGUUGUUUGAACCGCAUGGUUCAAACAUAAAAGGUGGCUUCGGCUACCACUUACAGAUGGACCCGCGGCGCAUUAGCUAGUUGGUGAGGUAAUGGCUCACCAAGGCAACGAUGCGUAGCCGACCUGAGAGGGUGAUCGGCCACACUGGGACUGAGACACGGCCCAGACUCCUACGGGAGGCAGCAGUAGGGAAUCUUCCGCAAUGGACGAAAGUCUGACGGAGCAACGCCGCGUGAGUGAUGAAGGUUUUCGGAUCGUAAAGCUCUGUUGUUAGGGAAGAACAAGUACCGUUCGAAUAGGGCGGUACCUUGACGGUACCUAACCAGAAAGCCACGGCUAACUACGUGCCAGCAGCCGCGGUAAUACGUAGGUGGCAAGCGUUGUCCGGAAUUAUUGGGCGUAAAGGGCUCGCAGGCGGUUUCUUAAGUCUGAUGUGAAAGCCCCCGGCUCAACCGGGGAGGGUCAUUGGAAACUGGGGAACUUGAGUGCAGAAGAGGAGAGUGGAAUUCCACGUGUAGCGGUGAAAUGCGUAGAGAUGUGGAGGAACACCAGUGGCGAAGGCGACUCUCUGGUCUGUAACUGACGCUGAGGAGCGAAAGCGUGGGGAGCGAACAGGAUUAGAUACCCUGGUAGUCCACGCCGUAAACGAUGAGUGCUAAGUGUUAGGGGGUUUCCGCCCCUUAGUGCUGCAGCUAACGCAUUAAGCACUCCGCCUGGGGAGUACGGUCGCAAGACUGAAACUCAAAGGAAUUGACGGGGGCCCGCACAAGCGGUGGAGCAUGUGGUUUAAUUCGAAGCAACGCGAAGAACCUUACCAGGUCUUGACAUCCUCUGACAAUCCUAGAGAUAGGACGUCCCCCUUCGGGGGCAGAAGUGACAGGUGGUGCAUGGUUGUCGUCAGCUCCUGGUCGUGAGAUGUUGGGUUAAGUCCCGCAACCGAGCGCAACCCUUGAUCUUAGUUGCCAGCAUUCAGUUGGGCACUCUAAGGUGACUGCCGGUGACAAACCGGAGGAAGGUGGGGAUGACGUCAAAUCCAUCAUGCCC